AUGGCUAUCGAAGCAUGCAACUCAUUUUUUGUUGGUCAAGUUGAUGAUCUAAAAACAUGUGUGAGCCUUCUAUAUCGAAACGGAAGAAGUAUCAUUUUGCUAGUCUCUGCAUUCUUUGUCUUACUGUCACCUAGUCACCUUCCUGGCAUUUACCACUCUCAAGUUGAUAGGCUGAUAGAUAGUGAUGCAUCAGGAUCCAUUCCACCAGUCGAGCCACAUGGUAUUGAAAUACUGCCCUCCGUUCACGCUUCACUGUCUAUCUUAACUAUUGACAAAGAAGGAAAUGGAACAGCGGUUCACCUAUUUCAACUGCGAUGUUAG
rnacentral:rRNA from 1 species